GACCCUUGUACCUUAGUUACCAGCACGUUAUGGUGGGCACUCUAAGGAGACUGCCGGUGACAAACCGGAGGAAGGUGGGGAUGACGUCAAGUCAUCAUGGCCCUUACGGCCUGGGCUACACACGUGCUACAAUGGUCGGUACAAAGGGUUGCCAAGCCGCGAGGUGGAGCUAAUCCCAUAAAACCGAUCGUAGUCCGGAUCGCAGUCUGCAACUCGACUGCGUGAAGUCGGAAUCGCUAGUAAUCGUGAAUCAGAAUGUCACGGUGAAUACGUUCCCGGGCCUU
rnacentral:rRNA from 1 species